rnacentral:rRNA from 1 species
GACGAACGCUGGCGGCGUGCUUAACACAUGCAAGUCGAACGGAAAGGCCCUGCUUUUGUGGGGUGCUCGAGUGGCGAACGGGUGAGUAACACGUGAGUAACCUGCCCUUGUCUUUGGGAUAACUUCAGGAAACUGGGGCUCAUAUCGGAUAGGAGCUCCUGCUGCAUGGUGGGGGUUGGAAAGUUUCGGCGGUUGGGGAUGGACUCGCGGCUUAUCAGCUUGUUGGUGGGGUAGUGGCUUACAAAGGCUUUGAAGGGUAGCCGGCCUGAGAGGGGGACCGGCGACAAGGGGACUGAGAUACGGACCAGUAGCCUACGGGAGGCAGCAGGGGGGAGUAUUGCAGAAUGGGCGGAAGUCUGAGGCAGCAACGCCGCGUGCGGGAUGACGUGCUUCGGGUUGUAAACAGCUGUCGCAGGUGACGAAGAGUGAGUGACGGUAAUGGGUAAAGAAGCACCGGCUAACUACGUG